rnacentral:lncRNA from 1 species
CAAAAUAUGAAAAACAUAAACGAGAAAAUCCGAAAGUUCAAAGAAAAACACAAAAGGCCCAACUCCAAAAAAGAAACCCAUCAAAAGCCCAAAAAUACCUGACCCGAACUAACCGAAGCAAAUCAAUCCAUAAACCCGACAUCACGAGAGAAACCAACGAUCAACGAUCUCCGUACCCAGAACUCUGAUCGACAAUGGCCGCCACUGCAUCCUUGGACUCCUUCGGAAGCUUGAUACUGUUCUUCAGCUUCUCUCUCUUGCUCGCCACCGACGGCGACUCCUCUAGCAUCCUCUGAAGACCUCCGCCAGCUCUUGGAUCCACCAUCUCCGCCACAAUCUCCUUCUGAAACUAAUAAUUCACGAGAUUCUUCACUGACAGCUGAAGAUACAGAGCAAGACUGUCCACAAUCCUUCGUAAGACUAUCGUCCAGUAAGAUGCUAUCCUCAUCUUCAUAUCGAAGGCUUGCUGCAGGAGAUGAGCAUGAUACUUCCGUAGGUGAGAGAUCUUCACAAUUCCACCAAAUCCAGUCAACGAGAAGUGCUCAGGCUUUUUCCCAUCGGACAACACAGCAUAAAUGAAGUUUUGUUGUUCAGCAGUCAUCUGAGUCCAAGACGUCAUGUACUCAGGGUUACAUGUGUAAUCAGUCAGCUUCUCCAUUUCAACAAUCUCCAACACUCGCUCCACAGAGUGUUCCUUGAUCUUGGUGAUUAGAUUUCGACCAGCACGUUUGAUGGCAGAUUGGAUCUGUGGGAAGUUUUCAGAAUACUUGGCAAUGACGGAUGAGAGAACAACUUCAAUGUAGUCCCAUAUCUUCUUGAUGAACUCCACGGGCUUGACAUGUAUGGCAUCUUCGUGUUGUGAUAGUAUAGCCAAGAAGGCUGACCUGGGGAUGAAAUUGGGCAGUCCAACACACUUGCAUUCGUCAAGGAUCUUGAUCUCAUUCAUCAAGAACUCGGUCACUUCCUUUGGCUUCUCUUGCAGAUUAUCGGAGAAUUGGCUUAACAUGUCAGCCAAACGAGCAGUACAGUGCAUGUUCUGGUCAUCCGGGAAUUCAGAGAAGUCUCCUUGGACAAGGAUUCUGAAGAGGGACUCCUUGGCAGAACCAAUGAUGUCCAUCAAUGCCAUCAAUGCUUCUCCGGUAGAAGCCAUAACCAUCGGUAGCUUGUUCAACUCCAGGACAGCAGUUUCCAUCUUGUGAUUGAUCUUGCGAACGAUUUCAGGCAAACAGCGGGAAAUCAUCGUUGCUUGGAUAAGCAUUAGCUUCUGAGCUAUAACAGGGAUUCCCACGAUGUCUUCAUCAAUCAAGCUCAGCAUCGGGAGACCUUCGGGAGCCAUGUCUGCCUUGGUGACAACGGCCAGAGUCCGUUCACAUACGGAUGGAUUCACAGGUGGUGAAGUCGACUGUAGCUGACAGAACAUUGAGGAUUAUUGAUUCUUGUGGCUCGAUGUACUUCAUGAUCAUCCCAGAAAUCUGUUCGUAAAUAUUCUCCGGUUGUCCAUUCACUGGCCUCGAGUUAUACCGGGAAGAUCGACCAUGGUAAGAUAUGGGACCCCAGCCUUCUUAACAUGGAGGGUCAAUGGAGCGUCUGAGACCCCUUUGCCAGAUCCUGCAGUAUAGGUAGUCAAAAGUUCAAAACUGGUUAGCAUCACACACAACACUUUUAGUUCCUUCAAAUAGCAAAACUAGUAGUAUAAAGAGCACUAAAGUUAUCAGACUACACUAGGUUUUCCAUAAUCAUAUUUCAAAUCUAGGUACUUGUAUUCAGGUUCAUGUAGACAUCUUAUUUUAGGGACAUCAAUGGUAGUAAGUAACACUAUGAAGUUUCAACAGUAAGUAACGUGAACAGCUAAAGUAUAAUUAACAGCAUGAAAAAAAACCAGACCAUUAAGAUCCAACUAGGAGUUUCAGAGUAUAUAAAACACAUCACUAGGCACUGUCAUUUAGGUAUAUGUACACAUCUAACUCCAAGGAAUUCUAUGGUAAGUAAACCAACUUCGUUCAAAUAUUCAUGUUUUAGAUUAAAGGUCGCACUCUCAGUAAUCUCUCUUGCAGCUAAACACACUUAAUACCAAGAUAGAGAGUGAACUUACCAGCAAUCACAUCUGUUGCAGCACAGAUAGCUUCAGCGAUGUGCUCCUCAUCCGUGGGAACAAUCUUGUCACUGUACUCAAGCCAUAUCUCAGGUACAGGGCUAGAGCUUCGCUGAAGUCGCAUGACAAGAGGAACCCUAGUGCAGAUUCCUUGGCCACGAGGUAGACUGAUUCCUGCCAACGAGUCGAGGACACUUGACUUCCCCGAGGACUGGUCUCCAACCACGACAAUGGUGGGAAGCUGAAUGCCUUCUCUCAUCACAUUGAGGUUCCUUAGACGGUCAACCGUGUCAAGCAACGGCCUAAUCCUAUCGUUAUAUGAAGAUAUAAUCGGUGCUUCGAUGGGAACAACUUCUCUGUUGUCAUGAGGAUUCGCCUGGACAAUUGCAAGAGAAGGAGAAGAGGUUCUAGUGACAACAUGCUUCUUACUACCUCCCAUUUGUGUUCUUUUAGAGAUAAGACAAGAGUAGAAGAUAUAAAAGACAGAAAAGAGAAGUUCUAUGGGUAAGUGAGAUUCUUCUUAGAGAUAUGCAAAGAUAUAUAUAGAGAUAUUAGAAGGGCUUUGUGUAUACGAAGAAUUUACGAAGCAAGUAAAUUGCAUGAAAGGAUGCAAGUAGCGUGCAUGUUGGAAUUGAAAAAAGCUAAUUAAGUCAGUAAUUGCACCUAUAUCUAGCUCGUAGUUGAAACUAAAACGUCUCUCUUAAGAUGUGUAUUUGAAUAUUUUAUUGGUUCCAAUUGGCUGAAUUCUUUUGUGGUGAAGUUUGGAAUUUUGACUAAAGGCGUAACUUGAUAAUUUUCG